rnacentral:rRNA from 1 species
AAACAUCUUUUCUUGUUAGUUUUUGAAGUAUGGCCUGCCCGCUGACAUUUGGUGUUGAAGGGCCGCGGUAUUUUGACCGUGCAAAGGUAGCAUAAUCAUUAGUUCUUUAAUUGUGAUCUGGAAUGAAUGGCUUGACGAGGCACGGGCUGUCUUAGUGUUGAAUGUUUUAUUGAAUUUGGUCUUUGAGUUAAAAUUCUUAGAUGUUUUUGUGGGACGAGAAGACCCUAUAGAGUUUGACAUUUGGUUUAUUUACUUGUUUGUUGUUUGUUUAUUUUUGGUGAGUGGGCUUUUUGUUUUGUUGGGGUGAUGGGAGGAAUGUACUUAACUCCUCUUAGUUUUGGUUAUAUUGAUUUAUAAUUGUUUGAUCCAUUUAUUUUGAUUAUAAGACUAAAUUACCUUA